CCCUAAUCCCUAAAUCCUAAAUCCUAAAACCCUAAAUACUAAACUCUAAACCCUAAAUCCUAUACCAAAUAAUGAAAGAAUUCUACAGCUAGACAUUCUGCAAAAAUAAAUCUAAACAGCAAAGCAAAUUUAACAAUCUAAUAUUGGACAUCAAAUAACUUGAUGGAAAGUCUAGUCCAAAUUUAUUAGAUUUGUCCUGAUCUUAAUCAUCCCCAAAAAAUCUCACCAAGGAAUGAUUAGUAAAGUACGAGGAAAAGAAAUUGGAGCUAAAUGAAGAAAAUAGAUUAUUGUAGCAGAAUCUGCAAAAAAAAAGGUGGAUAUUUCCAAGCCUUAAGCAGUAUGGAUUGCUGAUCAAUAAAAAUCAUUCAAAACUGUACCGUGUAAAAACUUGAAGAAUGGCGGAGAGAAGUUCUGUACAAUUUGUGGAUAGACAUGCAGCAACUGGUCCCUCACCAGAUUGAUCCAAAGGUCUAGUUGAAUAUAUCUUAGUAUUAUUCUCUCACUAUAAGUUCUAAAAUAAUGUCUCAGUAAGCAAAGAAAACUCGAUUCCACAUUUUCAGGCUUUAGAAAGUGCUGGAAAAGAGCAACCCAAGAAUUUAUUGAACAAGGCUCUUCAUGUGAAUCUAAUCCUAGUGCUCAGAAGAUACAGGGCUUUGCUAGCUCCAAGGAUUGCACAAACUGUUAUAGGAAUGUAUGGUCAGAUUCUUUCUUGUGCCUAUAUUUUUGAUAUGUUUAUAUUUUAGGUGAAAAUAUUUUAGUCUUCUGCAGGACCCAUAAGAACCGCGGGAAGAGAAUGGGAGGGGGAGGGGUUAUAGCAAGGAUAUUCCGUGCUCAGCUCAUGAUUUAUUCACUUAUGUCAACUCCUCUCUCUUGAUUAGAACAAUGUAACUAGACGAAAUUUCAAGGUCAAAAUCUCCAUAAUUAUUGAUUCAGUAAAACAUUAAAAUGAAGGAAAGAUACAGGAGGGAAGAAAAUGUCUAGGAGGGGUUAUUAUUUAAUGAGAAGAAUAAACUUUGAGAAAAAUUACAUGCUAUUGCCUAGAAAAGAUACAGGCCCUAGUAACUAUAUGUAGUUUACAUAUAUAUAUAUAUAGAUUGCCUAUAUAUAUAUAUAUAUAAAACACCCUCGAGGGACUGUGGUUAUUAUUAUUUUUUUUGUGUGUGUCUGCAUGGAGUGGGAGUGUGGUUGGGUUGUGGGGGAAGGUGUAGCAAUUUAGCUCUAAAGACUAGAUAUGAAGGCUUUUGCACAAGGCCGAUCCUAUUCCAAGGUACUUGGCUCUUAAUCCAAUUUAGCUUCACAAACCUCCAUGUUAUGUGCUUAUUGUCAUGCUGCCUUUGACAUCACCACAGUCAGAGAGCGCAUUGAUGAAAAUCAGCAAAGACAUAACAUAUAGAGGAGGUUAUUGACUACUUCAGAAAGCACCAAGUUGGUCUGUGUUUUGUUUUCUUGUGUUCUUUAUUAGAACAUGUAUAUCUAUGUAGCUCUUUCCCAUGAUCAACAUAAAGAAUGUGCCUACUGUGUUGGAGCUUGCAUAGGACUUGCUCGUGUACAAUUCAAAGAGGUAUGGCAUCAGGAUAUUCCUUUAUGUUCUAUUCGACUCGAGUUUGGUUGGGAUCAACUCAUGAUGUAUUAGAGUCGACUCUGUAAUGUCCGGGCCCAAUACAGACCGGGCCCAAUACUUUUAGCGCCCAGUUGGAGAGUAUUUGGGCCAGGUGGUUAGUGGGCCAUACUGGCCCAUGGAGAGCAGCCCAUGGAGGGCUGCCAUCUUCCGCCUAAGGGUUGAAAGGACAGGACCCUAGCUGGCUAUCGGAGAGAAGGCCUUAACCAUGCAAAACAGGAGUCUGCCGCCUCUUCACCCUCGGUUAAAGGAGCAUUGAGCUAGCCUGAGGGGGGGCAGCUAGUGGCUCCCGGAGCAAGGGUGAAAGAGAGGAUGCCACCUCUCCAAGGGGUCAAAUCCUAAUCCACACUAUAUAACCCUUAAGCUUGCUAACCCACUGUUACUAUACCCUCUUAACCUCUAACCCUCUGGAAUACUGCACCAGAGAGCCAGACCUUCGAGCUGGAGGCCAAAAGAACCCUGAAGUCCAAGGAGAGGGAGGAGGGAUUUCGUGAAGGUGAUACUGCCCGACUGCAACCGGCCAAAGCAAGGUAAAGGCCACUGUGAAUAAGGUUUUAAGUAAGAAAAGGGGUGGAGAAACCCCUCUGUGGGGUGUUAUCCUCUCUGUUUCAACAAUGAAACAGAGGGGAGAUCGGCACAGGGGAGAAGACCGGCACGAGGGGAGACGGGAGAAGGGCCACAGGCCGGACCCACAGGCCGUGGGCCGGCCUGAGAACGGCCCAGGCCCGACGUCCACCCGGGCCGAGCCCAACUGGACUCGGCCUGCGGGUGAUAGGGCACCGCAGACCCGGCUGCAGCUACCCUAGGGCUCAGGGGUGGCCACGGGCCGCUGGGUCUGGCCGAGUCGGCAACAGACGCGGCCACAGGGCCGCCAGCCCCAGCCGAGCACCCACCUCUUCUCCGGUGAAGAGGUGGUGGUGCUAUUUUUUUUAAAAAAGAAAAAGAGAAGAGGGGAAACGGAAGCAGAAGAACAAAAAAAAAUUACCGGACCUUUGAGGCUUCAUCCUCGGACUGCGGCCUUACCUUGCCGUGGUUGGAGCAGGUGAGGACCUUCCGGAGGAGAUCCGGCCUCAACCCCACCUUCCGGCUCUCUUCUCCGGACGGAAGGGCCGGCCUUCCGCCCACCGCUGCCGCCCCGAGGGGAAGCUCCGCCUCGGUCGGUGGAUCGGGAAGCCUCGUCUCCUCGGUCGCCUGCGAGAGGAAAGAGAGGAGCCGGAAGGCGGCAAGGAAAGAGGAAGGGGACCGGAGGAGGCUGGGGGUUUCGGCCGGAGUGGCGAGGGUUUCGGAGGAAACGAGAGAGAGGGAGAGACCGGAGGAGAGAGAAGGGAGCGGGAGACGAAGAGGCCGAAGCCUCUGGAAGAGCCGAGAAGACCCUUAAACGGGUCUGCCUAACGGGUCGGAUCCGGGUUCGGGUCUGAAACCCGUUAGGCCCAAACAGCUUAAAAUGGGUUUGGUAAACCCAAUAAAAAACUGAACCGAGCCCAAUUGAAUGAAAUGGGUUAAAUUAAGCCCAAAUGGCGUCGAGUCUGAACCUAAUUGAGCCUAAAUGAACCUAAUGGAGCAAAUUGGAUUAAAUUUGGACCCAAUUGAGCUGGGUCUGAACCCCAUUCAUGCUAUAGUAAUUUCAGCGGGCCCAAUUAAUUUUAAAUCAGACCCAGUUCAAGCCAAAUUAAAUUGACAGAAGGCCUAAUUAGCUAGAAGAGGCUGGACUUAGUCAUAAAUCAGGCCCAACCCUCUUAUUAAAAGCUCAAUUAAUCCAUGUGGACCCAAAUUGGCUUUAAUUGAAUCCCAAAGGUUUCAAAUUGGAUAAAUUAAAUUGGGCUAAGAUCCUUGGUUGGGAUCCAAGCAAGUCCAUGGUGAGAUGAACUAAAUUCUAUAACAAAUAGAGGAUAAUGUGAUUCUUAUAAUGUGGUUUUAGGAAUCAAAGAUUUGUCACCUGGACUUAAGAAAUUGGAUAACGAAUUUCGGUAAGUAACCUGUCCUAAUCCUAUUAUGGAUCAUGUCAUGUUUAUUAAUAUUUCCUAAGUAUUAUUCAGGUAUAUGCUUCAUGUAUGAUAUGUUAUGAAAAGUAACUUGCCUUAAUCUUUUAUGGAUCAUGUUAUGUUUAUGCCUUCUUACAUGAAUUAACAAGUAUAAAUUAUUUGUCCUCAUCAUGUUGAAUAUGAAUCAUGCAAGCAUCAUGUUUAUUAAGAUUUUUCGAGGUAUUAUUCAUAUACAUACUUCAUGUAUGGCAUAUUAUGAAAAGUAAGUAAAAUGCCUGAUUUCAUAAUUUAUGGUUAUGCAUGCAUCAUGUUUAUACUGAUUUUAAAGUAAUCAUGCAUGCAAAUUAUUUUAGUAAAUUGCAUCUUGCUAUGUGUACUGCUUGCGAGAGGUACUAUGGGCUCUUGAUGCUAUGGGCUGAAUGAAACUGAGCCGGCCUUGCCAGUGGCCGAGAAUGACUGAGUCGGCCCCGCCAGUGGCUGAGAAAAAACUGAGUUGGCCUCGCUAGUGACCGUUAAUGAAUUCGCCCUAGCAUCCAAGAGGUACUAUUAAUGGGCUCAAAGAUGCUACUGAUCGAAUGCAACUGAGCCAGCCUUGUCAGCGGCCGAGAAUGACCGAGCCGGCCCCCACCAGUGGCUGAUAAAAAACUGAGCUGGCCUCGCCAGUGGCCGAUAACGACUUCGCAGUAGCAUCCGAGAGUAUGAACCACGGCAUGCCGGGGGUACGGUUUUCAUAUGUAUAUUCCAUGAAAAUUCUUGUUGACAUAAAAUACUGAUUUGUUUACUCAGCAUAAAUAUUUUGUCAUGAUAAAUUGUUAGAUAAUAUACAUGUCAGCUUCUCAAACCCUGUUUAAACAUGUUUAGCAUUUUAGUUGAUCCGAUAAGAUUUUGCAGGAUUACUUACUGAGCCGUGUAGCUUAUACCCGUUUAUUUACAUUUUCUUUCAGAUGCUCACCAGUGAUCGUCAUCCGACGUAUUUUUCUUUUGCAACGAGGCUUCUUUAUUUUUGGGUUCAACUGCAUCUCAAAUUGGUAUACUGUUUGCCAUAUUUACCUGAAACGUACUCUUGCUCGUAUUUCGGGCAUAAGACACAUCCUGACCCGCAUGCGCUCGCUCCAUUCGCCUUCCGAAAGGCACCCCUUGGUGCAACCCCCCUCCUAUAAAUCCCCGUCCCCUCUUUGUCAAACCAUUCUUCCUUCCAAAGCCCUCCCCUCCCCGUCUUCCCGCUUCUUCUCCUCCGCCUCCUUUCAUUCGAAGCCAUCCCUCUUUCCUUCGAACACUAUAAAUGAAACCCUAAUUCCCCUCGCUUCCAUUGCCCCCAUCCUCCUAGAAGGAGAGCGGCCCCUUUGUCCAAACCCCCUCCUAUAAAUUUCUAUCCCCUCCUUCUCAAAACCUUCUUCCUUCCAAAGCCCUCCCCAUCUUCCCGCUGCUUCUCCUCCUCCGCGUCCGUUCUCUGGAAGCCAUCCCUCCUUCCUUCAAACCCUAUAAAUGAAACCCUAACCCCCCUCGCUUCCAUUGCCCUCAUCCUCUUAGAAGGAGAGCAUUUGAUAGCUCUGUCACUGCGGGAUCAUGGCGGCCUCGAGAGACGUCCAAGAGAUCAUCUCCAAGAUCUCCUCCGACAAGGCCAUGGGCCGCGACGUGAGCUCUGCAAUUGCUUGCCCAAACCCUCAACCUAAUGGCUUCUUCUUGUGCUCCUUUUUUCUUUCCUUAUCCUUUUCCGGGUUCUUGAUUUAUUCUUGAUUGCAAUUUUCUCAUUCUUCGAUGGUUUCCAAGAAGGGAUCAAGCUGUUGAAUAGCUGACUGGAGGACGAGAGAUCGAUCAGUUUCUGUAGGCUACUCGGUGAGAACACCAUCAGGAUCAAGCCCAAUGAGAUCCCUCAUGCUGAUACAUGGCCUUUUCUCAUUAUAUUGCUGACGAAGUGCAUUGAUUGGAGAUCUCCAUGAGCAAGAAACGUCCACAGAAAAAACUAAUACUGGCAAAGACUCUUCACACUGCCAUCCAAUGUGCUGAGGAUCAGGAGCUAUCAGGUCAGUAAAAGAUUGACGCGACAUGUGUAUAUUUGUUAUACUGGUCAUGAAACUUCUUCCUUUGUUUGUUGCUGCUAAUAUUGUUUCCGGAUCAUGAGUUAGUUCCAUAAAUUACCUUUGUUCCCUCCUCUCACCACCACCACCCUCCUCUAAUGCUAUCUUGCAUUUUUAGUUGUGUACUAGGAAAAGAAUUAUGGCAAAAUAUGUUCCAGCAGGUCAACUUUUAUGUAAUUGGAUUGCUGUAUGCAUCUUCCAACUUAGUAAUAUGGAUAAUUCCAUGAUCAGGAGCCACUGUAGCUGACAUAUGUGGAUUAAUUGGAAUAGAAUUGUCAGUAUAUCAUAGUACACGUACUUUUAGACCUACACAGGUUGCUUCUUCAGGACAUAAGUCAUUAGCUAGUCACUCGUUCUCUUCCAGUUUUAGUAGGAGAUUCUAUGCCUCUCAAAGCCAAUGUACCAUGUAGGCAGUUUUGAAAGGAAACUCCAUUAUAAAGGUUCUUAUGAUAAACAGUGAUCGGUACCUGAUGGUCACCACAACUACAAUCUCCAAGAAUUGCUGAAUGACCACUAUAACCACCAUCUCAACGGACACCAGGCUAUCAAUGCUGAAAUGAUUGACAAAGGAUCACUGGAACCACCACUAUCCCACCUUAACCACCAUGUCAGAAGACACAAGGGGAUCAUUAACCAAUGAAUUGACAAGUAACCGCCUCAAUCUUGAUCCCAACUGUUGUAGCGAGUGUCAAAAUUUUCGUGUCAAGGUUUUGACUGAAAGUAAGCAGCAGGUAGUGAUGUAGUUGCGAUGAACCUUAUGGUUCUUAAUUUUCAUGUCUUUAAACUACAUCAAAAUUUUGUUUGGUUUGGACCGAAUGUAAGCAGUAGACAGUGAUGUACUUUGAUGGACCUUAAUUUUUCAGAUUUGCAGGACCUUAAUUUUUUACUGUAGCAAUUUUCUUUUGUCUAGAUUUUCAUGUCUUUAAAAUCAAAAUUUUGUAGGAAAAAAACUCCUAUUUUCUGUUGUUAAACAUCUAUUUAAUCAUGUAUGGGAUGUUAUAAAAGAUGCUCCUAGCUUUCAGUCAGAAUACAGCAGCAUCCUACGCCAUCUUCUAACUGUUGAAGAUUACCGCUAUCAAAUGAGGAGGCCAGUUUAUUGCAGUCUAGUAGAUCUAGUCAUAAAUUACGUAGGACUGUCCAUCGACAUGAAAUCUAAUAGUCAUUCUAGCUCCAAAGAGGAAGCCUUCCGCUAUAUCUUGUCUCUUCAUGCCCUCCUGGAAAACCCAUUAGGUGAUUUUCCGGAUAACAUCUGGGAGGAUCCUGUUAAGGGGUUUAUUGAAAUAUUUUCACAGAUUAGGUAAGCAUUGUGUGAUUGGUUUAUGAGGCAUGCAUACGAUCUUGUUACAUUCAGAAGCUGCAUCAUUUAUGAAGAAUUAAGAGGAGAUGGCUUUCAAGAGUUGUAUUUAUUGUUUCCGUGCUUCCUUAUGAGUAAGGUACUGUAGCUUUUUGAAGGAUGAGAAAAAGGAUUGCAAAUUUAUAUAAUGCCUUUCAUUUGUGGAACUUUGCUAGGGAUGAGGGUAAGUUCUCACACAAGCUAAUGGAAUGCAUUAAUACCUAUUUGCUAAAUGAUGGCCCAAAUCUUGGAUAUCAAGCCAUGGAAAUUCAUUGUGCUGUACAACAGUAUAUGUUUCGUUAUUGGCUUCCUAGUAACUCGUGAUCGAGGGUUAAAGGUUCCUGCAUGGAUAAGCUCUUUUGUUUUUGGUCUAACUAUAAUGAGAUAUUCCUCUAUUCAUGAAUAUUUUUUCAUUGUAGAACUCAUUCAUUCUUUAUGCAACGGUACAACUAAAGUUCAUCAGGACUAUGUCAGAACGAAGUGUGCUUAUGGAACAACUUCUUGAUGUUAUUUUCAAGGAAUUAGACCAAAGCACUAAUACUGGAGUGAUAUGUCUAGAGAUGAUAAGGUUGGAACUCUGGGAAGCACUCAACAAGGCUUGUAAAAACACUACAAAGACAUCAUAUCAUGAGAAGUGGCUGAAAAUGGAGAAUCCUGAUGCUUGCAUUAAGGAUGGAAUCAUGAAAGGCUCAUGGCUUUGCAUAGGGUCUGGGGGAGGAGCAAAGGAAGGACAAAAGAAGAGCGAUGACAGUUGGGCAGGAUGGUGCUGUGUCUCAAGAGUUGACUUCUGGUUUAGGGGGCUUGUCACCUGGGUCAAUGGUUAAGAGCUGAGAGAGCAUCUAGAGUUGGGUCUUUGCUUAUGUGCAUGCAAUAUUAUGUACGUAUAGAUAAGCUUCUUCUCUCAGCCAUCUGCAUAUAAUGGUUAAAUUAUUUCAGUUGCUAGAUUUCGAUAUGAAGGUUGUAGAUUUAUCUUUAUGAGAAAUAUUAACAUUUGAGAAGUGAAUAAACAUUUCAACUGCAA